CGUUAAGUAAGCCAAGGAAAUUUUGUUUUCGGGAAAAAUGUGAAAAAUUUCGCUCUUUUACAAUCUUUAUAUUUGAAUGGUAAAAGAAAAAUAUGUCAUAAUAUUAAUUUUAAUUUCCGAAGUCCACUAGCAGAAGUGAGCGAGGGCUUUGAUAAGCUCACAAGAAUACCGAGAGAGUAAUUCGGGUCACGAUGAAGAGGGCUGAGGAGUAUGCACCGGCAACACAAUCGGGCGAAAGUGCAGAAUGCUGUAAGGGACUGACCAAGGCGUAUUUAAUUAGGUGACCGCAUCGGCGAAUUGCUACAACAAAGAAUCUUUUUUGGGAACUUGAUAUUUCAACAUUUCUAAACGAGGCGAAUUAAAUUCUAUUCGCCGUGACUUUUCAAAUUAUGGGCAAAUUUGCUUCGACCUAUCAGAGCAAGAAUUUUAUUUAUUUUUAAGUGUCAAGUAAGAAAAACCAAAUUUGAAAAUGUACAAAAUUCCCAUUAGCUUCACCAAUAAAACCACCAAGAUGGCAGGUUUAAAUUGUUUUCACUUGGUUAUUGUAGAGGUAGAUAGCUACCAAGUGAAGAUGAUGUUACAUGCUGCAGAAUAAUACGCGUACUACUAUCAAAAGGUUCAAAUAGGAAGAUUGUGCCUAGAGCUAAAUCACGUCAUUUGAAGAGGACAGUUAAAGUUUCUUGGCUACGAGGAUGACGUUGUGAUUGUGGCCAUGCGCCAAGAUUGGCCAAUGGGCUUGAUGUAUUCCCCAAAAGAUAAUGUUUGUGCUAUUCACCAAUAUGAAGUAACUUAGUAUAUUCACUUAGUAUGACGUCGCGCUGGAAAAAUGACGGACUUACGUUUGAUUUGUUGGGAUGAGGACGAGUCAUAGACGGUUUAGCACCUAUUGUAGUACUGCCCCGAUAUUGCGGGGCUAUUUGCAGGAUUAUGGCUAUACGAACAAGUUGUUCUAUGUUUAAACUAUCAUCAUGUACAUAGUCCUUGCGCCAUUCUUGACUACUACAGCUUAAAAUGGCAGAUUGAAAGAAAUUCUCCCGCCUGGCCGCCGUUUUAUCAUGCAUGUCGGCUCCUUCUUCAUUCUAAUGAUUAUAUUUUUGUAAGGCGGAUUAAAAAAUUAAUUGGCAUAUCAAGUUCUAUCAGCUAUACGCAUUGGGACUGACAUUCAAAACACUUCUACUGAAUUUGGAAAGAGAAUCGGAUCUCCCGAAGAGCAUAAAAUUUCUAAAAUUCUGAAAAAGAAAAACAGCUCCCCGCUUUUAAGUACUCGGGAAGGACCAAGCCAGCUCACCCGCAAUAGACUCCAGACAGUGUCCUACGUAGGAGACAAAAUCGGAAAAGGAACGAAGGGAGCGCAGAUGGCCCCUGAUUCUUCAUGGAACUGUGACUUACAAAAUAACGCCACAGCCAUUACGAAAGGGGAAGAUGGUCACUGGAAAAGGUAAGGAGCUGCCUUCUUACGCCAGAGUGACAAGAAAGCACAACAGAGAUGAGCUUACUUAUGCAGUCAUCGAUAUUGGCAGUGCAUCCGGUAGGAUUCCAUCAGAUCAUCGGUACAAAGUCGAGGAUCAAAUUAACGUGCGGAUUUGCGAACAUGUGGGGAACUCUAAAGAGGGUCCACCCAUACAAAUGAUGAGCUUCGAGUAUAGAAGAGACAUCUUUACGCUACGCUUUACAUCAGCAGAAUGUAUUGAUAUUGUCAAAAAGCUCGUCAGAAAUAUCCACACUCCCUGGUAGGCAAAGCUGCCAGACGAUUUUACGUCAUUUUUUUACGAUUUUUGUCCAAAAUUUAACUCUGAUGCCUGACGAUUUUCGAUUUGAGUCCCUUGAUAAUAUGUCAAUUUUUUGGGAUCUAUUUGUAUUGAAAUUGAACUCAAAUUAGAGAAAAAAAAUUCAGAAAUUCGCUAUGGCUGACAUUAUGCGACAAAUUUAAUUUUAAAUUUUAAGGCCCGAUAUUGAUUUCGAAUAACUUUACAGUUGCUCAUUUGUGUAUCUUUCCAUCAUUAAAAUUGAGCAAGUCGGAAAUUGGAAAUGUUCAAAUGAAAUGCAUAAAAAACUCGGAAUUUAAAAUUGUAGCAACCGUUUAAAUUUUAUUAGCCCUUCAAUCAUAUUAAAGUCUAAAUUCCAUA